rnacentral:misc_RNA from 1 species
GAUGAAGAACGCAGCGAAAUGCGAUAAGUAAUGUGAAUUGCAGAAUUCAGUGAAUCAUCGAAUCUUUGAACGCACAUUGCGCCCGUUAGCAUUCUAGCAGGCAUGCCUGUCCGAGCGUCAUUUCAACCCUCAGGGUCCCCGUUCCGGCGGGGAACCUGGUGUUGGGGAUCGGCCCGCCCCGUGCGGCGCCGUCCCCCAAAUUCAGUGGCGGUCUCGCUGCAGCCUCCCCUGCGUAGUAGUUACAACCUCGCAUCGGAGCUCAGCGCGGCCACGCCGUAAAACCCCCGACUUUCUGAACGUUGACCUCGGAUCAGGUAGGAAUACCCGCUGAACUUAAGCAUAUCAAUAAGCGGAGGA